AGCUGUUUGAUUAGUGAUGAGGUGGCAGUGCUUCCAUAUAGCAUAACUAUUUCAAAUGUUUCACUGAUUGCUAGUCUGCUGAAAGUACUGGUUGUCAUCUUCACAGCCUUCCAUGACUCAGGCUGGAUGGCUAAUCCCAUCUUUUAAAGUCUGCAUUUACAUGAUGUCAUCUACAGAGCCUACCAAGUUACUGGACUCAUGAUCUAAUGACAUCUGCAUCACAUGGGGUUUAUUUGAUCACUCUGCUGAUGCCACUAUUACUAAAGCUCCCAUGUUCUACACCUUUCUUCUGUAAGACACCUCCAGACUGUUGUGAAUUCCAG